UGAAAGAAUUUCAAUAGAACACUUACAUCAAAAAAUACAGUUUAAAUCUAAAUGUUUCAUGGACAUGUCACUUUCAUUUGCUCACAAAGUAGAGUAGUAAAGGACUGGCCCCAUAUGGAAAAGUCCUGCUGUAUUUACUAGUGAGGUUUUUUUUUUUUAAUUCCUGUCUCCCUUUAUUUCAUCUGGGCAGUUCUAUUAUUGCAUAAUAGAAGGUUUGUGCAUUAAAUUUCCUAGGGCUUAUAAAUCAAUGAGGGAAAACCUCUCACUAGUGUAUCUUUCCAAGAAACAAUAGCAUGAUUCUUUUAAGUACCCACAUUGGAGUGUCUAAAUUGCACCUUCCCUAAACUGCACCACUAAUUCACAUGCACUGGAAGGUGUGUAUGCUCAGUGGAGAUGCUCAUUUCAGAAGAAUUGCAUCUUGCUCAUUUCACUUUGCUCAUUUAUGAGAUGCUAAUUUCAAAAGAACUGCACCUUGCCUUCACAAAAUCCCUACCAGAACAGAACUAGAUGAAUGCUGUCAUUGCUAACUAACCUUGAGAAGUGCAAAUUUGUGCAAUUGCAUUAGACUUCUUAUCUGCAACCUUUUUUCUUCUCCCACAAUCAUUAUAGUUGAGCAAGAUUAUGUAAUUAUAAAAGGAAAUCCAAAGAAAUUGAAAAUAAUUAUCUGAUUCUUUUUCUCCUUUUCUAACUCCCACUAAAGCAGCAGAUGGAAAGAAGCCAAUACAUUAUUUUAAAGUUUUUUUUUUAAAAAGUGUCCUAUAUGUUGUGUUAUGUAUUAAUGUUUGCAAUGUUAAUGAGCUGGAUUCUGGCACCCUUUGCUACUUGAAUAUACCUUCUUUUUUGGAAUCAUUGGGACUUUUAGUGGAGUAAAGUGCUGCUCAAUAACAGCCAAAGGUUCAGAAUCUGCCUGUCAGUGGCUGAAUACACCAGAUAGGUGUUCCAUGCAGUACUAAUGACAUGACUUCCUCCUUGAAGUGCUCAGAUCAUUUAGUUUCUGUUCUGAAAACAACUCAUGUCAUGGCUGGUGGAUCUGCCCAUCCGUGAUCUCUCACAGGCACGUAUUCUUCCCAGUGUAUGCCCCAAGUAACUGGUUCAAGCGCUGGGGAACUCCAAGGGGGCCAGAAGGAGAGAAGCCAUAUACCCACCCUUUGCAACCAUUAAGCCUCAGAGAGGGAGAAGAGCUGCUCCACAACUGCUAUUGCAAUCUCAGGGACUGGCACAGGCUCCACAUCCUAGUGCACUGCCUCUGCAGGGCAAAAGGAGUGAAGGAGCUGUGUAUCAGUGAAUCAUCCCCACAUCUGUCCUUCCACCAUGUUACCAGACCCUCUCCUUGGCAGCAUAGAGAGAGACCCUGCAGAGCUGUGUGACUUGCUCAAAUUCAGCCUGCCCCAGCGCAAUGAGUCUAAUGCACAUAUGGGUUAUACCCAUGCAGGUCCUGUAUUGCUGCUUCUGGAGACUGAGGCCUUCUGUCCACGGAAGAGAUACAUCACAGACUGCAGCAGUCCAAGCUUCCUCAAUCUGCUCCCUCUGUGUGUGCUUCAACCCUGACCUGGAGGUGAGAAGGAAGCUCAUUUUCUAUGUCCACUGCCUUCUGGUUUCUCUGUCAACAAGGGUGCCAUUUAUGAUGAGGGUUUGUUGUUGUGGACACCUGUGCACUUUCAGUUGCAUUGACAUCACCUGUUCAUUUCACAUAGGCCGCUGAACAGCCAUCAGGUAGCAGCAACUAUCUGUCACCACUGACCUGAUCUUGUCUGCACGGCAAAGUGUGCGAGAGUGGUGCGAUUUGUAAAGCAAUCUAACAUGUUGCACUGUUGCACACAACAUUAACAUGGGCAAGGUACCUUUUAGAGCAGUGAUACUCAAACUGUGCCUUGCAAGCUGCAAGUGGCUCUUUAAUGUGUCUUCGGCAGCUCUUUGCAACACAGGAUAUUAAAACACAGUGUGAUUUAAUUCUUAACCAAUCAGGAUGCUUUUACUAUGUUAUUAACCAAUUAAGUUAUGAACUUGCUCAAGUUAUUAACUUAUUUGUUCUGAGAAUAAUAUAUAAUAU